GAAAGACAACUCGCAGGUUUGCAGCUAAUCACAUCCUGAAGGUUUAUUCCAUUUUGAUGAAACACAUCGAUACAUCACAUGCGAUGAUCUUAUUCGCGGGGAUUACAACUCGCACAAGCACGACUGGGAUUCAUCUUACAUCAUGGAGCCACGAACAAAAUGGCGCUUUCCCGUAUUUUGUGCAGCAACACGUAUUAACCUCUCUGCAAGUCCAGUCCCAGCGACGUUGGUGCCCGAUUAGUCGCAUGCAUUCAUCUUUGCAAUGAGUUGUGGUGCAUCCUUGCAAAGACACACAUUUCUCGUCCACAACUGCAGGCGAUAUACCAUCAUAGCGUUAGCUACUCAAUAAGACAAGUUCUUGGUAGGUUAAUUAUCUUGGAUAUCCAUUGACAGACACACACACGCAUGCACGCACGCAACUUACUCUGGACUGCAUGGCAGGGUGGCAAAAUGGAAGCAAACAUCAUCGUAAGGACCAGGAAAGUGAUGGCCACGGUCCUCCUUGUGUCGCUCUGUUUGACAUGUGCCAUGAGGAGAAGAGAUCGACUACUUGUGUUUGCCUUGUUGCUGGUGUGCUCCUUCGCUGCAAAGAUCUCCUUUAGUUUGGUGGUGUUUAUAUAGAGGCAUAGUCGUAUCCUCAACAGAUGUU
rnacentral:lncRNA from 1 species